AAUAGAUGACGCCGUUGACUUUUUCUCACAUGUUUGACCAUUCGUCUUAUUCAAAAAAUUUACGUAAUAAUAAUUUAUUUUGUUAUGAGUUGUUUUAUCACUCAUAGUACUUUAAGUGUGAUUUAUAUCUUAUACAUUUGCAUAAAAUUUUUAAAUAAGGACGAAUGGAAUUUUUUGAAUAAGACGAAUGGCCAAACAUAUGAGAAAAAGUCAACGGCGUCAUCUAUU
rnacentral:pre_miRNA from 1 species